rnacentral:rRNA from 1 species
UCCUACGGGAGGCAGCAGGCGCGAAAACUCCGCAAUACACGAAAGUGUGACGGGGUUACCCAAAGUGCUUAAUAUUUAAGCUGUGGUAAGUGUGUAAUGUACCUUACUAGAAAGGAGAGGGCAAGGCUGGUGCCAGCCGCCGCGGUAAAACCAGCUCUUCAAGUGGUCGGGAUAUUUAUUGGGCUUAAAGUGUCCGUAGCUUGUAUAAUAAGUUCCUGGUAAAAUCUAAUAGCUUAACUAUUAGUAUGCUAGGAAUACUGUUAUACUAGAGGGCGGGAGAGGUUUGAGGUACUUCAGGGGUAGGGGUGAAAUCCUAUAAUCCUUGAAGGAUCACCAGUGGCGAAGGCGUCAGACUGGAACGCGCCUGACAGUGAGGGACGAAAGCCAGGGGAGCGAACCGGAUUAGAUACCCGGGUAGUCCAAGCCG